CCGACAGGCGUAGGCGAUGGACAACCGGUUGAUAUUCCGGUACCCGCUUUGAAGCGCCAGCGCUGAACCCAGCGAUGCUAAGCCCGUGAAACCGCCGUGUGCGUCUUCGGACAAGCACGGAGUGGUGGAGCCGGUGGCCCAGACUGGUAGUAGGUGAGCGAUGGGGUGACGCAGGAAGGUAGUCCAGCCCGGGCGGUGGUUGUCCCGGGGUAAGGGUGUAGGCCGUGUGGUAGGCAAAUCCGUCACACGUUAAGGCUGAGACCUGAUGCCGAGCCGAUUGUGGUGAAGUGGAUGAUCCUAUGCUGUCGAGAAAAGCCUCUAGCGAGUUUCAUGGCGGCCCGUACCCGAAACCGACACAGG
rnacentral:rRNA from 1 species